CACAUGUGGUUGUCUCUGGAUCAAGUAGUUGGCCGUGAGCAAAUAUUCGCUGACAGUCUGUCUUCAUCUUCGUGGAACCCACUUUACUCUCUCUAGUGCGCCUCUAUUAACACCUGCCCUAUAUACUCUCUCUCUCUCGUAGUUUCUACUUCCAGAACUCAUCUCUCUCUCCGGCAGGCCGGCGAUUGGGUCAAACCUCAUUGUUUGACCAUGGCAUCCAUGAUUGAAUCUGCUUGGACGUAUCUGAUUACAAAUUUCAAUGACUUCCAAUUGGCUUGUCUUGGAAGUUUCUUUCUUCAUGAAAGUGUCUUCUUCUUGUCUGGACUUCCUUUCAUUCUUCUAGAAAGGGCAGGAUGGUUGAGCAAAUAUAAAAUUCAGACAAAAAAUAAUACUCCUGCAGCUCAGGAGAAAUGUAUCACUCGCCUGUUGCUGUAUCAUUUUUGUGUUAAUCUCCCGCUUAUGAUGGCAUCCUAUCCAGUCUUCAAAUUAAUGGGGAUGCGAAAUACUCUUCCGUUGCCGUCCUGGAAAGUGAUCUCUACGCAAGUAUUAUUCUACUUUAUCCUGGAGGAUUUUGUAUUCUAUUGGGGACACAGGAUUUUACAUACUAAAUGGCUCUACAAGCAUGUCCACAGUGUCCAUCACGAGUAUGCAACACCAUUUGGAUUGACCUCUGAAUAUGCUCACCCUGCUGAAAUUCUUUUUCUUGGAUUUGCUACAAUAGUGGGUCCAAUCAUUACUGGGCCCCAUUUGAUAACAUUAUGGUUGUGGAUGAUAGUUAGAGUCCUUGAGACAGUUGAAGCACAUUGUGGUUACCAUUUCCCAUGGAGCCUAUCAAACUUCUUGCCAUUAUAUGGGGGGGCUGAUUUUCAUGAUUAUCAUCACCGACUGCUCUACACAAAGUCUGGAAAUUAUUCUUCAACAUUUGUUUACAUGGACUGGCUAACAGAAGAGUAUCAUAGAGCCACAAAAUUCUUUUAGGAGUUGGCAUGAAUAUGUCAACACAAUUCUGAUGAAGCCUUGAGACAAAGACAUUGGAAGUUAUUUGGUACUGACAAGGGUUACAGAAGAUUGAAGGUGCUGAAGAGUGAUGCAUGUGAAGCUGAGGGUAAAGAAAUGUAGAGAUGUGAAAGGGUAAGUUUUGGCUGGUCUGGCAUUGCAAGACGGGCUUAUGUACAAGAGCGUAUAGGUGAAGGUUUCUGUUGUUGAUACCUCAGUUUUAUGUGCUUGUGUUCGAUUGUAGUUAUGGCAUGAACAUCAUCUACUUUGUAGUGUCAUCUUAGAAAUUAGAAGCAAGUCUUGGAAAAUUUCUCCUUGCAAAUGUGCCUGCCUUUGUUUCGGCUAUUUACGUUAUUCAAGUUCCAUUAUUUACAUGUUUCUUCUCAUUGAUGGGUGACCUAUAUUGGAACCAACUUAAUCUGAUUUUUGUGAUCUCAA